rnacentral:rRNA from 1 species
UGCCUACGGGAGGCAGCAGUGGGGAAUAUUGCACAAUGGGGGAAACCCUGAUGCAGCGACGCCGCGUGACAAAAAAAAAAAAAAAAAACAUAAAGCUCUAUCAGCAGGGAAGAAAAUGACGGUACCUGAGUAAGAAGCCCCGGCUAACUACGUGCCAGCAGCCGCGGUAAUACGUAGGGGGCACGCGUUAUCCGGAUUUACUGGGUGUAAAGGGAGCGUAGACGGUGCGCCAAGUCUGGAGUGAAAUGCCGCAGCUUAACUGCGGAACUGCUUUGGAAACUGGCGAACUAGAGUGCGGGAGGGGG